rnacentral:rRNA from 1 species
AACGAACGCUGGCGGCAUGCCUAACACAUGCAAGUCGAACGAGACCUUCGGGUCUAGUGGCGCACGGGUGCGUAACGCGUGGGAACCUGCCCUUAGGUUCGGAAUAACUCCCCGAAAGGGGUGCUAAUACCGGAUAAUGUCUUCGGACCAAAGAUUUAUCGCCUUUGGAUGGGCCCGCGUUGGAUUAGCUAGUUGGUAGGGUAAAAGCCUACCAAGGCGACGAUCCAUAGCUGGUCUGAGAGGAUGAUCAGCCACACUGGGACUGAGACACGGCCCAGACUCCUACGGGAGGCAGCAGUGGGGAAUAUUGGACAAUGGGCGAAAGCGUGAUCCAGCAAUGCCGCGGGAGUGAUGAAGGCCUUAGGGUUGUAAAGCUCUUUUACCCGGGAUGAUAAUGACAGUACCGGGAGAAUAAGCUCCGGCUAACUCCGUG